UACGUGGGGGGCAAGCGUUGUUCGGAAUUACUGGGCGUAAAGCGCGCGUAGGCGGUUCUUCAAGUCGCGUGUGAAAGCUCCAGGCUUAACCUGGGAAUUGCGCUCGAUACUGUUGAGCUAGAGUGUGGAAGGGGCUACUGGAAUUCCGUGUGUAGCGGUGAAAUGCGUAGAUAUACGGAGGAACACCAGCGGCGAAGGCGGGUAGCGGGGCCAACACUGACGCUGAUGUGCGAAAGCUAGGGGAGCAACCGGG
rnacentral:rRNA from 1 species